rnacentral:pre_miRNA from 1 species
UCUUAUAGAUGGGCAAAGGAAGUGGUUUCUUGGGAUGAAAUCUGUUCCUGGUGAAGAUGCUGUGAA